rnacentral:piRNA from 1 species
GCUGUGUGACAUGCGGACAGGCUA